rnacentral:tRNA from 1 species
GCCGCUGUGGUGGAAUAGGCAGACACAAGGGACUUAAAAUCCCUCGCUGUUACAGGCGUACCGGUUCAAGUCCGGUCAGCGGCACCA